rnacentral:rRNA from 1 species
UACAGAGGUCUCAAGCGUUGUUCGGAUUCAUUGGGCGUAAAGGGUGCGUAGGUGGCGGGGCAAGUUGGAUGUGAAAUCCCGGAGCUUAACUCCGGAACUGCAUUCAAUACUGCCUUGCUAGAGUACUGGAGAGGAGAUUGGAAUUUACGGUGUAGCAGUGAAAUGCGUAGAUAUCGUAAGGAAGACCAGUGGCGAAGGCGGAUCUCUGGACAGUUACUGACACUGAGGCACGAAGGCUAGGGGAGCAAACGGG